rnacentral:rRNA from 1 species
GUCUAGGGCGAUACCACCCUGAAUGAGCCCGAUCUCCUCUGAUCUCGGAAGUAUAAGCAGGGUCAGGCCUGGUUAGCACUUGAAUGGGAGACUGCCUGGGAAUACCAGGUGCUGUAGGCU